rnacentral:lncRNA from 1 species
UGGACCACUAUAGGCCUGGUAUGUACCAGCAUUUCAACAUACCAUAUGCUGGCUUACUUUUGGACAUUGAAAAAGGGGGUGGAGGAGGAGGGGAGGAGGAGGUGGAGGUUGAGGAGGAUGAGGAGGAGGGGAGUAUUAGGCUGGCAGAUGGUGCAAGGAGGGAGAUCAACCAAUAUAAAGAGGUAUUAAAACCUAAAAAUCGUGAACUGUCAAAUUUGUAAAAGGAAAAUAAACUCAAACUGGGUGGUGAGCUUUCUGCAAGUUAGUGGGCGAUAACCUACAAACUGUACAAAACCCCAUGGUUCUUACAGAUUUAUUUGAUAAAACCAAGGUUCUAAAUACCAAGGUAUGCAGUUUCGAAUAAUACUGCCCAUACCGGAUGGUACUGUUAGGACCCUUUUUAUAAGCUUUUGAAUAAUGUUUAUUGAGUCUGUUUAGUUCAGUUGUUUAUUGAGUUUGUUUAGUUCAGUUAGAGUCAGAUAGAGGUUUAUUUAAUAUUUAUUUAUUAUUAGAGUCUAAGUCCUGGUGGACUGUGGGUGGAACUCUAUAAUAGUGAUGUAAUCGUUUCUCUUGGGAGGCCAUGAAAUAUUAUUAUUAAGUCUUUUGACAAAACCCUAGGAGGCCGAUCCCCUCGAAGCGAUCAAGGAGAUCGAUCCCCUCGAAGUAUCAUUCCCUUUUCUCCCCUUCCAUGAUAAGACCCUAAGGUCUUAUCAAUUGGUAUCAAAGCAGCAAUCCUCGGUGUUCUCACUGCAGUUAUCAGUCAAAAAAAAAAAAAAAAAGAAGAGAGGAAGAAGAAGUCGUAGCCACGCACCACCGUUGCCGCCUUCUCCACUGCCGCCCGCCUCCCCUUGGGUCGCAACCGCAACCGCUCAGCCUCCCCUCCUUGGCGAUCGUUGGUGACGCUGCUCCCAACCGUGCCACCACCGUUGCCUCCUUCUCUACCGUCGCCCGCCUCCCCUUGGGUCGUAGCCGUAGACGCUCGACCUCCCCUCCUCGCGGCGACCAAAACAGGGCAACCGAGAAAGGGCCGCCGCCGCUAUUUCCGGCCAGCGGACCACUCCCUGGCAGCGCCUAGCCUCGGCACCCCUUGCUGCUCCUCGCCCUCGACGACCUUGCUCCCAACCGCACCGCCACUACUGCCUCUCAACCCCGGCAAUAACGUUUCCUUCUGCGGUGCGACAGAAACAGAGCUCCCUCUGUUGUUGCCGCCCCCCGUCGAUCCUUAUUGCGACCCAACGGCCGCUACUUCGCAGCCAGCGGACCACCCCCUCGUCGCUUCUACCGUCGGCGACGCUGCCCCCAACCGCGCCACCAUCGCUGCCUCCCCUUGGGUGGCAGCCGUAGUCGCUUGACUAUCCCUCCUCACGGUGAUCAAAACAAGGCAACCACGACCGCCGCAGCUAUCGUUGUUUCCUCAACCGCACGCGAUCCCUCGGCGUCACCAACGCCUCCUUCCGCAGUGCCAUAGAGACAGAGCAAUGCUGCUUUCCAUCCGCGCCGUCGCAGCCACUGCAGCAGUGAGCCCUUGGCGGCGCUACCCCCAGCCGCACCACCAUCGCUGCCUCCCAGCCCUCAGCAGCAGUGAUCUCUCCACGCAGCGACCGCAACAAGCAUCGCUGCCUCCCACGCAACGACCAUAGCUACAUCCUCACAUCCUCGCAGCAACCCUUCAUUCCCACAGUGUUGCCACCGACCGCGUCACAACAGCAACACCGAAUAGGGCAGUGAUUAAUGCCCUAGUCCUGACACCAGAAACAGGAGUUGAGAUUACAGAUUUGCAGUCUUACGCAAUGGCCACCGAUAACUCAAUGAAAGCACAAAUAAAAGCAUUGGAAAUCAGAGUUGAGAAUCGACUGCAAGAAACACUUAAUGAUUUCAAAAAGAGCCUACUGGAGAGUCUCAACAAAUUUCAACAAGAUGGGGGCUCAAGUUCUACGUUGCACAGAUAUGGAAAUACAGGAAAAGGACCCCAAGACUAUGACACAAACUACUCACACAUGAAGGUGGAAUUUCCGAGAUGGGAAGAUGGAUAUCUGACCAGUUGGAUCUCUAAGGCAGAAUUUUUUUUUUCGUUUUUACAGAACUCCAGAAGAAUCCAAGGUGGAAAUAACCUCAAUCCAACUAGAGGGAGAUGCAAUCCGGUAAUAUGAUUGGUACGAAACUUGCCACGGAGUCCCCUCGUGGGUGCAAUUUAAGAGGACUUUUUAUUCACUUUGGACCAUCUGAGUACGAGAAUGUUGAUGGGCAGCUCGCCAAAAUUUGUCAGGCUUCUACAGUGUUAGAAUAUUAAAACAAAUUUGAACGAUUGUCAAAUCAAGCUAGAGAUUGGUCUGAACGACAACUGGUGAGAACAUUUAUCGAAGGACUUAAUCGAGAUAUCUGGUGUGAAGUUAAGACUCGUCAACCUCGCACUAUUGACUAUGAUGGUUGCGAUCUCAUUCGCAUAUCUACACGAGAAAAAAAUUAGUAGGGAAAAUCAUGGAAACAUAAGUGACAACAACCAGAUGAUCAACAAGCCACCCGCCCCAUCUAUUCCCAAUCGAAACCCUGACACCCGAAGACUAACCCAAGAAGAACUCAAGGAAAGAUCAGCAAGGGGUUUGUACUAUGAUAAAAGGUGGAGUAUGAAGCACCGAUGUAAACAAGAGCAACUUCUGAUGAUUGAACCAAUUGGAGAGAAACCAGAAGCUAAGAGUGUGGACUCCAAUCAUGAAGGUAUAGAUUCUAAUGAAGAUGUUGGAUCUACCAUACAUACAAUGCGUGCAUUAACCGGCUACUCUAACCCACAAACUAUGAAAGUUGGUAGAACUUUGGAAUAUCAGCAUGUUAUAGUUUUGAUUGAUACUGGUAGCACUAACAAUUUUAUGGACAGUGAAACUAUUGACCGAUUGACCCACCACAUUGAAGGCUGUGACAGAUUCGAAGUAAAGAUCGCUGAGGGACGAAUUUUAACUUGUGAUAGCAAAUGUUCAAAGAUAAAAUUAAUUGUACAGGGCCAGAAGUUUCUUGUAAUGAUUACUACACUGAAAGACCGACCUGUUGCUUACACUAUCAAAAAGUGGAGACCAUACUUACUUGAUCAACGGGUUGUGAUGCGUUGCAGAUAGCCUAUGACUGAAGUGCUAAAAGAGAAGCUCCCCGAAUUUGAUACUGCUCAGCCUUGAGGACAAGGCUGAUUUGAAGAGGGAGGAAUUGUUAAGACCAUUUUUCUGAGCUUUUGAAUAAUGUUUAUUGAGUCUGUUUAGUUCAGUUGUUUAUUGAGUUUGUUUAGUUCAGUUAGAUUCAGGUAGAGGUUUAUUUAAUAUUUAUUUAUUAUUAGAGUUCAAGUCCUGGUGGACUCUGGGUGGAACUCUAUAAAUAGUGAUGUAACCGUUUUUCUUGGGAGAUAAUAAAAUAAUAUUAUUCAGUCUUUUGACAAAACCCUAGGAGGUCGAUCCCCUCGAAAUGAUCAAGGAGGCCGAUCCCCUCGAAGUGAUCAUUCCCUUUUCUCCCUUUUCUCCCAUGAUAAGAC